rnacentral:lncRNA from 1 species
UCCCGCUGAGAAUGGGACUGCUUUGUUUCAGCCGACAGAACCAGCAAGCCAGAAAGGUGUUGAAUACACACACACACUGACUUAACGGAAAAUUAUCAAUGUGCAUAUAAUUAUAACACUCGAAGCAAAUAGAUAGGAAGAUUCUGUCUCUAAAGUUUAACAACAAAAGACAAAGGUACAGUAUACAAUAAUACAUAACACUGACGUUAUACAAAGUUUUAUCUCCUCAAAGUGC